GGGGGUGUAGUGUCAACGGCCAGCACAACGGUCUCCAAAACCGUUAGACUAGGUUCGAAUCCUAGCACCCCUG
rnacentral:tRNA from 1 species